rnacentral:rRNA from 1 species
GACGAGGGACCUAGCGUUGUUCGGAAUCAUUGGGCGUAAAGCGGAUGUAGGUGGCUUUGUAAGUCGGGUGUGAAAGCCCAGGGCUCAACCCUGGAAGUGCAUUCGAUACUGCUUCGCUUGAGUACUGGAGAGGUCGGUGGAAUUCUCGGUGUAGAGGUGAAAUUCGUAGAUAUUCGCAAGAACACCAGUGGCGAAGGCGGCCAACUGGACCAACACUGACGCUGAGGCGCGAAAGCGUGGGGAGCAAACAGG